rnacentral:rRNA from 1 species
UACGUAGGGUGCAAGCGUUGUCCGGAAUUAUUGGGCGUAAAGAGCUCGUAGGCGGUUUGUCGCGUCUGCUGUGAAACCCGAGGCUCAACCUCGGGCCUGCAGUGGGUACGGGCAGACUAGAGUGCGGUAGGGGAGAUUGGAAUUCCUGGUGUAGCGGUGAAAUGCGCAGAUAUCAGGAGGAACACCGGUGGCGAAGGCGGGUCUCUGGGCCGAUACUGACGCUGAGACACGAAAGCGUGGGUAGCAAACAGG